ensembl:lncRNA
CAGUGGUCUGUAUGGACUGACUGCACAGAGACCCACAUCGGUCUGUAUGGACUGAUGUAACAGCAUGAUAACACCAACAUUGGCCUGUAUGGACUGACAGCACAGAGACACCGAUGUCAGUCUGUAUGGACUGAUAGCACAGAGACCAACAGUGGUCUGUAUGGACUGACAUAACAGCAUGAUAACACCAACAUUGGUCUGUAUGGACUGACAGCACAGGGACCCACUUCGGUGUGUAUGGACUGACUGCAGAGAGACCAACAUUGGUCUGUAUGGACUGAUAGCACAGAGAUCAACAUUGCUCUGUAUGGACUGACAUAACAGCAUAACACCAACAUUGGAGUGUAUGGACUGACUGCACAGGGACCCACUUCGGCCUGUAUGGACUGACAGCACAGAGACAGCAACUGGUCUGUAUGGACUGACUGCACAGAGACCCACAUCGGUGUGUACAGACUGAUAGCACAGAGACACCAACGUCAGUCUGUAUUGGUGUGUAUGGACUGACAGCACAGAGACCAGCAUUGGUGUGUAUGGACUGACAUAACAGUGUGAUAACACCAAUGUCAGUCUGUACCCACUGAUAUAACAUCAUAACACCAACAUCAGUGUGUAUGGACUGCUAUAAUGCUGUGAUAACACCAAUGUCAGUCUGUGCCCAUUGAUAUAACACCGUGAUAACACCAACAUCAGUGUGUAUGGACUGAUAUAACGCUGUGAUAACACCAAUGUCAGUCUGUACCCACUGAUAUAACAUCAUAACACCAACAUCAGUGUGUAUGGACUGAUAUAACGCUGUGAUAACACCAAUGUCAGUCUGUGCCCAUUGAUAUAACACCGUGAUAACACCAACAUCAGUGUGUAUGGACUGAUAUAACGCUGUGAUAACACCAAUGUCAGUCUGUACCCACUGAUAUAACAUCAUAACACCAACAUCAGUGUGUAUGGACUGCUAUAAUGCUGUGAUAACACCAGUGUCAGUCUGUGCCCAUUGAUAUAACACCGUGAUAACACCAACAUCAGUGUGUAUGGACUGAUAUAACACCGUGAUACCACCAACGUCAGUCUGUAUGGACUGACAGCACAGAGACACCGACGUUGGUCUGUAAGGACUGACGUAACAGCAUGAAAGCACCAACAUCAGUCUGUUCUGACUGACAUAACACCACGAGGACACCAACAUCAGUCUGUUCUGACUGACACAACAGCAUGGCAGCACCAAUAUCGGCCUGUAUGGACUGUUGUAACAGUGUGAUGGCCCCAAUGUCAGCCUGUACUGCCUGAUAUAACACCACAAUAACACUGACAUCAGCCUGUACUGCCUGACAUAACACCACGACGACACCAAUGUCAGCCUGGUCCAACUGACACCCCAUGGCAGCACCAACAUCAGGCUGUACUGACUGACAUAACACCAUGGCAGCACCAGCAUCAGUCUGUUCCGAUGGACAUAACAGCAUGGCAGCACCAAUAUCAGCCUCUAU